GAGUGCCUCCUGAUAUUUCCUCCUCCUCAAACCUCCAUCACACAUCUCUCUCUGACGUACGGUCAGACACUGUUCUUCAAUUUUCAAUCUUCCAGAGCACACGCACACAGAUCUCACAUUUAACCUUCAAUGCUUCGUUUUCUUGUUUCCUUCUAUCAAUCCAUGGAUUCCAAUUCUCUCAUCAAAAUUCGUUUUCCAAACCGCAUUCAAGCUCUAACCGUGCUCGCUUCGCUUUCAUGGAACGAGUUUUUGGUGUUUCUCUUUCGCCUUACAUCGGUGAAGAGUUUUUUUUUUCUUCUGAAUCCGUUUGAUUUCUUAAAAACCGCGCGAGAAGUACAGGUUAGAGAUGUUAUUUAAUCUCUGAAGCAAUGGUAACUUUCGGUGGAGACUUGCGUUUGGAUCUCAGUUCCUGAAGGAGCCUUAUAGUGUUGCUGUGGCUGGCUUAGCUGGAGAUUCACGGGCACAUGCAAAUCCUCUCCUAUGCCUAGACCAUUUGUGAGAACAUAAUCUCUGUUUGUUUCGCUGUCAUCUUUUGUUCCAUGGACCUGAGUUAGUAAAACUCUUUUUAAAGUUCAGAAUAAAUAGUAAACAAGGUUGUCCCCAUUUAGAAAGUUGGAUCAUUCAGUUUGAGAAGAUUAUUUUAGUUUGAUCUGCCAUCCAAACCAAUACCUUCUUUUUCAAUUCCAUGUUUUCUUGACAAAUUAGGUUUACCUUCUUAUACAGUUCCACAUUUUCUUGGCGUAUGAGGUUUCCCUGCAGAAAGUAAAAGGAAUAUUUUAACUAACAAAAUACUUAGAUCAUUAACUUCUCUGUUUAAAGACUGACCUUUCGAUUUAGGUCUUGUAUUUCAUCCAUUAGAAGUUGAUCCUGCAUAUGCCAAUAUCAUGUUAACUAUUACAUCUUUAUCUUCAAAAUUGAGCUCACAUUUUUUAUAGAGAAUACAAACCUUUUUCAUACGGACACCGCGAAGGCUAAUUUCUAAUUGGUUCUCCAAAUUUUGUAAUUCUUUGACUGUCAAACCUGACAGUUCCUCCCCCAUGAUUUUUCUGCCACAUCAAACUAGAAGUAAAAUUGUAUGUAUUGAAAAUAUGGAACCUUAAUGGAUAUUUCACUAUAAAGAUUAGAGACAAAUAGGACACUGAAAAUAUAAUCUUGAAAGUACCUUUUUGUGUGUAUUUUAAAUUAUUUGACAAGCCUUAAGAGAUACACAUGUUUAUUCUUCUAUAAUUAUAAGACAAUUUAUCUCAUGAAUAAUACUUGUAACAAGUUGAGAAACCGACACUCUGUGGCUUAUGUAUGAUAUGCGUGCGUUAAUGUAUAUUUUAGAGCAGGAUUGUUCACGGCCAGAAUUUAAUUCUGGCCGUUAUUCCAAACCGGUGAGUAGAGGGGAAAGAUGAGAAAAAUGAAGAAGGGUAUCCUCAAAUCCAAAAAGAGCAUGUCACAGAGGCCAACAUGGUUGAGGCCGUGGAUGCUGGAGACAGUGGUGGGAGCGUCUUCAACGAUGCAGAACAGUGGCGAGGAUGGGUUUGCCAUUCUCGUAAAUCUUUACUACAGUGUUCCUAUCUGGGAACAAAACAAAGGAACAGUGCUAGAAUGGUUACGGUGUCUUGUGGAGGGACGGAAACAUUAUAAGUAUAAGAAGGUUUUGAAUUUAUCAUGGGAUUUUAAAAUAGGUUACUUUAGGGAAUUUGUAGGUCAAUAUGAAAGGCUGAAAUUGUCUUCCCUAGUUCAUGUGUAAGUAAAACAUGUCACAUGUUUUAGGAGAAAAUUGGUAAAAUCACAUUUUUGGUUUAUAAUCAUGUCAACCAAGAACUGAGACGUCCUGCUAUAUUCUUGCUUUUAUGUUUAGCAUACAUACUGGGUACUGAUCUCAAGGAAAGUGUUCAUAGAUUUUAGAAUAAUUUGUUGCAUUCUAUCCUUCAAAGAGUUUGUAAUGAUGUGCUGAACCCUGAACUUGAAAAGGGUGGAAGUGCUCCAAAACAAUUUGCUAAGUUGAAUUGUUGCUCCAAAAUAAUGAAGUUUUUUUUUCUUUGAA